UCAGAUGGCUGGAUGGCCGCGGCCCGCACGGGAAACCAGCGGGUUCGAGGAAAGUCCGGGCUCCAUGGGAACACGGUGCCAGGUAACGCCUGGCGGGGGCAACCCUAGGGAAAGUGCCACAGAAAGCAAACCGCUUCGCUGUUGCGGAGUAAGGGUGAAAGGGUGCGGUAAGAGCGCACCGCCGGCCUGGCGACAGGGCGGGCAUGGUAAACCCCACCGGGAGCAAAACCGAAUAGGGAUGGUCGCCGGGUAAGGCCGGCAGGCGGGUUUUCACGCCACCGUCCGGGUAGGUUGCAGGAGGUUGUCGGCGACGGCAGCCCAAGAUGAAUGGCCAUCCAACGCUUAGGCGUGGACAGAACCCGGCUUACAGGCCAUCUGAUCGA
rnacentral:RNase_P_RNA from 1 species